CCGAGGAGUGGGUGCAGCCGCGCCGCCCGG
rnacentral:sRNA from 1 species